GAAAAAGUGUUCCGUUCACCUCUUUUAUUUUUUGACCAAAAUCCAAUUGGAAGACUUCUAAAUCGCUAUAGUAAGGAUCAAGCUAUAGCAGAUGAAACUUUACCAUCAGUAAUCAAGCGAGCACUCGAAGGCAUUUAUGAUUCUAUUGGUGGACUAGUACUAAUUGGAAUUCUAAUACCAUGGUUUUUGCUUACAAUUCCACUUGCAUUGGCCAUACUUAUUUUUGUCAG